UACGGGGGAGGCAAGCGUUGUUCGGAUUUACUGGGCGUAAAGGGCGCGAUAGGCGGCCACCGCGAAGUCAGUUGUGGAAAGACUCUGGGCUUAACCCAGAAAGGUCAGCUGAUACUGCGGGGCUAGAGUGCAGGAAGGGGCAACUGGAAUUCUCGGUGUAGCGGUGAAAUGCGUAGAUAUCGAGAGGAACACCUGCGGCGAAGGCGGGUUGCUGGGCUGACACUGACGCUGACAGCGCGGAAAGCUAGGGGAGCGAACGGG
rnacentral:rRNA from 1 species